UAUGGCCAUAUUAUGUUGAAACACUGUUUCCUGUACAAUUACUGAAGUUAAGCAAUGUUGAGCCUGGUUAGUACCUAGAUAGGUGACCACUUAGGAAUACCAGGUGCUAUA